GAUGAACGCUGGCGGCGUGCUUAACACAUGCAAGUCGAACGGAAAGGCCCAAGCUUGCUUGGGUACUCGAGUGGCGAACGGGUGAGUAACACGUGGGUGAUCUGCCCUGCACUUCGGGAUAAGCCUGGGAAACUGGGUCUAAUACCGGAUAGGACGAUGGUUUGGAUGCCAUUGUGGAAAGUUUUUUCGGUGUGGGAUGAGCUCGCGGCCUAUCAGCUUGUUGGUGGGGUAAUGGCCUACCAAGGCGUCGACGGGUAGCCGGCCUGAGAGGGUGUACGGCCACAUUGGGACUGAGAUACGGCCCAGACUCCUACGGGAGGCAGCAGUGGGGAAUAUUGCACAAUGGGCGCAAGCCUGAUGCAGCGACGCCGCGUGGGGGAUGACGGCCUUCGGGUUGUAAACUCCUUUCGCUAGGGACGGAGCGUUUUUGUGACGGUACCUGGAGAAGAAGCACCGGCUAACUACGUG
rnacentral:rRNA from 1 species